AUGUACAGUGAGAAGCAGUGGAGAACUGAGGGCUGUGUCCUAGUGGAGCAAGUGCUGGAACAAGAAGCACGGUGUCGUCUUCCCUGGAGAGCUUCUUCCCAGGCCUGUGGAAAACACCUGUUGAAGGUGUGUAAUUUCAGAGUGCCACCUCAUGAAUACAAACAGAACAGAGUUGGACAGCUAAAGCAGCAACUCUCCUUGCCUUUAGCCUUAAAUCCUGUCCAUCUGCCAGGGCCUCUGGGGAAGCAACAGGUGAGCCAGAAGGGACAGGCAAGCAGCUUUGGAUUACUCAAUCCCUGCAGACUUGGUAACCUGAAUCUACAGUUCACUUAAUUAAAAAAAUUAACACUUUGUGAAGAACAAACCAGAGGUGGCUAAGAACAGAAAAAGCAGGUACACAGAAAACAGGACAGGAAAGAUGUGUG
rnacentral:lncRNA from 1 species